rnacentral:rRNA from 1 species
UACGGGGGGGGUAAGCGUUGUUCGGAAUUACUGGGCGUAAAGGGCUCGUAGGCGGCCAACUAAGUCGGAUGUGAAAUCCCCAGGCUUAACCUGGGAACUGCAUCCGAUACUGGAUGGCUUGAAUCCGGGAGAGGGAUGCAGAAUUCCACGUGUAGCGGUGAAAUGCGUAGAUAUGUGGAGGAAUACCGAUGGCGAAGGCAGCCUCCUGGGCCAACACUGACGCUCAUGCACGAAAGCGUGGGGAGCAAACAGG